AAAAAGAAGUGGUCUUCUAAUCUUUCAAAGGAGAAGGAACCUCUCUGUCUCUCAGCCAAGGAUGGACGACAUUCUACACCCAGUCUGCUAACUUUCCUCAUGGGUGUGUGUGUUCUGUAUGCUUCUUGUGUGGAUGGCGCAGUUCCAAGCCCAGAGGGAGAUUUGCCUAUCAAGUUACUGCUUCCGUUGACAAGAAUGAUUUAAUCAGAGGCCAAAGUGAGCUGGAAGUGAGGGGGAAGCCCUCGGAUAAUUAAGCCUUCUCGACUCUUCUCUAUUUUGUUUCAGUAUCUGUGGCCAAAGAUGGACAUGGUGUAGGUCUGUAAGACCAGCAUUAUCUGUGAGAGAUUCCUCCCCCCCUCUCCCUUACAGAACUGGUUCCAGAAAAUGAAAACCAAGACAAUAUUCAUGCUCUCACAUUUUAUGUGGUGUGAGAAGCGAAUCAAACUCAGCCGAGAUGAAUCCAAUCAAGCCUUCUGAAUCUAUCAGACUGAAGGCAAAGUCUGUAGAAAACUGGAGAAAAUGGAAUUG